rnacentral:rRNA from 1 species
UACGGAGGGUCCAAGCGUUAUCCGGAAUCAUUGGGUUUAAAGGGUCCGUAGGCGGUUUAGUAAGUCAGUGGUGAAAGCCCAUCGCUCAACGGUGGAACGGCCAUUGAUACUGCUAAACUUGAAUUAUUAGGAAGUAACUAGAAUAUGUAGUGUAGCGGUGAAAUGCUUAGAUAUUACAUGGAAUACCAAUUGCGAAGGCAGGUUACUACUAAUUGAUUGACGCUGAUGGACGAAAGCGUGGGGAGCGAACAGG